CGGUACGUACUGGCAUUGUUGGUUUCUCCCUUCUGACGAACCAUGAUGUCAUUUAUUUGGUGUUGUGGGGAAUCAGGACUGUUACUUUGAAAAAAUUAGAGUGUUUAAAGCAGGCUCACGCUUGAAUACAUUAGCAUGGAAUAAUGAAAUAGGACGUUUGAUUCUAUUUUGUUGGUUUCUAGGAUCGACGUAAUGAUUAAUAGGGAUAGUUGGGGGCAUUAGUAUUCAAUUGUCAGAGGUGAAAUUCUUGGAUUUAUUGAAGACUAACUACUGCGAAAGCAUUUGCCAAGGAUGUUUUCAUUAAUCAAGAACGAAAGUUAGGGGAUCGAAGACGAUCAGAUACCGUCGUAGUCUUAACCAUAAACUAUGCCGACCAGGGAUCGGAUGAUGUUAAUUUUUUAAUGACUCAUUCGGCGCCUUACG
rnacentral:rRNA from 1 species